rnacentral:rRNA from 1 species
GAUGAACGCUGGCGGCGUGCCUAAUACAUGCAAGUCGAGCGAACGGACGAGAAGCUUGCUUCUCUGAUGUUAGCGGCGGACGGGUGAGUAACACGUGGAUAACCUACCUAUAAGACUGGGAUAACUUCGGGAGACCGGAGCUAAUACCGGAUAAUAUUUUGAACCGCAUGGUUCAAAAGUGAAAGACGGUCUUGCUGUCACUUAUAGAUGGAUCCGCGCUGCAUUAGCUAGUUGGUAAGGUAACGGCUUACCAAGGCAACGAUGCAUAGCCGACCUGAGAGGGUGAUCGGCCACACUGGAAUUGAGACACGGUCCAGACUCCUACGGGAGGCAGCAGUAGGGAAUCUUCCGCAAUGGGCGAAAGCCUGACGGAGCAACGCCGCGUGAGUGAUGAAGGUCUUCGGAUCGUAAAACUCUGUUAUUAGGGAAGAACAUAUGUGUAAGUAACUGUGCACAUCUUGACGGUACCUAAUCAGAAAGCCACGGCUAACUACGUGCCAGCAGCCGCGGUAAUACGUAGGUGGCAAGCGUUAUCCGGAAUUAUUGGGCGUAAAGCGCGCGUAGGCGGUUUUUUAAGUCUGAUGUGAAAGCCCACGGCUCAACCGUGGAGGGUCAUUGGAAACUGGAAAACUUGAGUGCAGAAGAGGAAAGUGGAAUUCCAUGUGUAGCGGUGAAAUGCGCAGAGAUAUGGAGGAACACCAGUGGCGAAGGCGACUUUCUGGUCUGUAACUGACGCUGAUGUGCGAAAGCGUGGGGAUCAAACAGGAUUAGAUACCCUGGUAGUCCACGCCGUAAACGAUGAGUGCUAAGUGUUAGGGGGUUUCCGCCCCUUAGUGCUGCAGCUAACGCAUUAAGCACUCCGCCUGGGGAGUACGACCGCAAGGUUGAUACUCAAAGGAAUUGACGGGGACCCGCACAAGCGGUGGAGCACGUGGUUUAAUUCGAAGCAACGCGAAGAACCUUACCAAAUCUUGACAUCCUUUGACAACUCUAGAGAUAGAGCCUUCCCCUUCGGGGGACAAAGUGACAGGUGGUGCAUGGUUGUCGUCAGCUCGUGUCGUGAGAUGUUGGGUUAAGUCCCGCAACGAGCGCAACCCUUAAGCUUAGUUGCCAUCAUUAAGUUGGGCACUCUAAGUUGACUGCCGGUGUCAAACCGGAGGAAGGUGGGGAUGACGUCAAAUCAUCAUGCCCCUUAUGAUUUGGGCUACACACGUGCUACAAUGGACAAUACAAAGGGCAGCGAAACCGCGAGGUCAAGCAAAUCCCAUAAAGUUGUUCUCAGUUCGGAUUGUAGUCUGCAACUCGACUACAUGAAGCUGGAAUCGCUAGUAAUCGUAGAUCAGCAUGCUACGGUGAAUACGUUCCCGGGUCU